rnacentral:misc_RNA from 1 species
GUUGUAUUGAAUAUUUAAGUGAUGCUGCUGCAAUGUUGAUGUAUUUUUGGUUUGUGAUGACUUCGGUAUGCAUUGUGCUAACUACUAGCAUUGACUAAAUAUGUGGGUUGAAUGAAUGAUGUUGAUAAAGCAGUUUUGCUUUGCCUACUGGUUUUGGGUAUGUGAAGAAAUUUGUUCUAUUAGUUGGUUUUGUGUUUUCAAUGUGAUGA